rnacentral:rRNA from 1 species
UACAGAGGGUGCAAGCGUUGUUCGGAAUUAUUGGGCGUAAAGCGCGUGUAGGCGGCUUAGCAAGUCGGGCGUGAAAGCCCUCGGCUCAACCGAGGAAGUGCACCCGAAACUGCUGAGCUUGAGUGCCGGAGAGGAUGGCGGAAUUCCCCAAGUAGGGGUGAAAUUCGUAGAUAUGGGGAGGAACACCGGCGGCGAAGGCGGCCAUCUGGACGGUAACUGACGCUGAGACGCGAAAGCGUGGGUAGCAAACAGG